GAUGAACGCUAGCGGCAGGCUUAAUACAUGCAAGUCGAGGGGCAGCAGGCUGUAGCAAUACAGUGCUGGCGACCGGCAAACGGGUGCGGAACACGUACACAACCUUCCUUUAAGCGGGGAAUAGCCCAGAGAAAUUUGGAUUAAUACCCCAUAGUAUAUUGGUUAGGCAUCUAACUAUUAUUAAAGAUUUAUCACUUAAAGAUGGGUGUGCGGCUGAUUAGGUAGUUGGCGGGGUAACGGCCCACCAAGCCUACGAUCAGUAACUGGUGUGAGAGCACGACCAGUCACACGGGCACUGAGACACGGGCCCGACUCCUACGGGAGGCAGCAGUAAGGAAUAUUGGUCAAUGGACGAAAGUCUGAACCAGCCAUGCCGCGUGGAGGAUGAAGGUCCUCUGGAUUGUAAACUUCUUUUAUAUGGGACGAAAAAAGGGUUUUCUAACUCGUCUGACGGUACCAUAUGAAUAAGCACCGGCUAACUCCGUGCCAGCCGCCGCCAUAACAC
rnacentral:rRNA from 1 species